rnacentral:rRNA from 1 species
UGCCUUAGUAACGGCGAGUGAAGCGGCAAAAGCUCAAAUUUGAAAUCUGGUACCUUUGGUGCCCGAGUUGUAAUUUGGAGAGUACCACUUUGGGACUGUACUUUGCCUAUGUUCCUUGGAACAGGACGUCAUGGAGGGUGAGAAUCCCGUGUGGCGAGGGUGUCAGUUCUUUGUAAAGGGUGCUCGAAGAGUCGAGUUGUUUGGGAAUGCAGCUCUAAGUGGGUGGUAAAUUCCAUCUAAAGCUAAAUACAGGCGAGAGACCGAUAGCGAACAAGUACAGUGAUGGAAAGAUGAAAAGAACUUUGAAAAGAGAGUGAAAAAGUACGUGAAAUUGUUGAAAGGGAAGGGCAUUUGAUCAGACAUGGUGUUUUGCGCCCCUUGCCUCUCGUGGGCUUGGGACUCUCGCAGCUCACUGGGCCAGCAUCGGUUUUGGCGGCCGGAAAAAACCUAGGGAAUGUGGCUCUGCGCCUCGGUGUAGAGUGUUAUAGCCCUG